CGAAACCUUCACAAUGUGCGAAAGCACGAUGAGGGAAUCCCAAGUGCUUGCUCGUAAGAGUAAGCUGUUUCUUUGUUUAAAAAGCAUAGAGAGUAAGGGCUGGGUAAGACGGGUGCCAGCCGCCGCGGUAAUACCUGCAGCUCAAGUGGUGACCAUUAUUAUUGGGCNUAAAACGUCCGUAGCCGGUUUAGUAAAUGCCUGGGUAAAUCGUGUAGCUUAACUAUACGAAUUCCGGGUAGACUGCUAAACUUGAGACCGGGAGAGGCUAGAGGUACUCCUGGGGUAGAGGUGAAAUUCUGUAAUCCUAGGGGGACCACCAGUGGCGAAGGCGUCUAGCUAGAACGGGUCUGACGGUGAGGGACGAAGCCCUGGGGCGCAAACCGGAUUAGAUACCCGGGUAGUCCAGGGUGUAAACGAUGCUUGCUAGAUGUUAGUUGGGCUCCGAGCCCAUACNNNCNCGCNAGCNGNCGCGNUA
rnacentral:rRNA from 1 species